AUGAAAACAGCAUGGACGUGCCAUCAGUGGGAGCCAGGAGAGUCCUUUACAGUGCAGAUGCUGCCUGUCCGCUGCAUGCUGCGAUCUCAUUCACACUGUUUUCCAGCACAAUCAAGCGGAAGCCCCUGGAGAAGGGCAGGCACAGCCCCACCAUCUGCUAACUGCGUCUGGAAGAGCCAGAAUGGCUGCCAGGACCCAGGUGACAGAACUGGCCCGAACAGCCUCACAAAUCCAUGCAUGAUAAAUCUGCAAUUGUACCUAUUACCUCUCAGUUCUUCUAAUUCUAUUCUGUUCAGCUGGAGCAAAGAGAAUAGUAUUAGAAGACCAUGGCAUGAGGUCCUAAUUUGUACGUUGGAUGUCAAAUAAAUAUUCACUGAGACUUGAACAACCUGGAUGCAACAGAAAAAAAGCUCUACCACAUGUGUACUGUGUACUUUCAUCUACAUCUACCAAUGGUUUUUAAGGGAACACAAGACAGGAGAGCAUUAAAGUCUGAACAUUAUAAAUGAGUCAAUUUCCCUAGUCUACUUAAGAGAGAAACAGUUUACCACUUAAUGCAUAAUAGAUGAUACAGGGCAAUUUUGGAGGAUGCCAAAUGUGGAUCACAAAUUCACAUAUCAGAACCAAGGGAUGGUUUUUAAAGCUGAAGGACACCCCCAUCUUCAACUGGCUAGAAAAAUAGAUAGCCGCAUCCUAGACUAACGCUAGAGUAAGUUUACUCUAACAUAAGCCAUGAGCAAACUAGCUACAUAGUGAAUCACAACAUUACAAACUUUGAUUUGAAGCAAAUAAAUAACUAAAUAAAUAAGAAAGUCAGACAAAAUAAAAACAAGUACAAAACUGUGAACUUGUGUUUAUGUUUUUAAUGAGGGAAUUAAAUAUAAUUUUGAAGCAUUUUAAAUCACAAUUAAAUUUAAAAUACUGCUAAUUUAAAGAUGUUGAUUAUUAUUAUUUUUUUUACAUUCAUUAAAAAUAUUUAGGCCUAAGUAGUUUUUCACUAUGAAUUCUACCGUUGAAUUUGAUUAUUUAAAAACUAAGGCUUCAACAAAGCACAUAUCGAUUAACAACCAAGUGGCUCACAGUAGGCCCGUCUUUAAAGCUUUAUAAGUUAUCUUUCGAAAUCAAUUGCCCAAUGUAAAAAAUGCAUGAAAUCUUUACUUUCGGAAGCUGUCAGUUGUAUUCUAUUAGUUGAGCAAAUGCUGCCAUGUCGGGUUGAUCGGGAUCAACCAGAACAAUAUUUUUUUACACUUUUUGGGUAAAUCAUUCAACCUAAGUCUAACUUAUAGUUGUCUGCAUAUGUCAGCAGGACUAGGAGAAAACAAACAUUUUUAAAAAAUACAGUUUGAGGUGCAAGAGAGAUUUUAAGAAGGCAGACAGCAGAUCUUUGUGUACUUUCUACUUCAUUAGGAGCAUCUCUCCUCUUGCCGCUCUCUAUUUCCCUCUUUAUCUUCUUCGCUUUUUUUCUGUCUUCUCCUCACCCUCUGUGCACCUCUUUUCACCUCUAUUGGCAUGGAUAAAGCAAUCUAAUGUAGGACUACUCCUAUGAGUUCUCUGGCUUUUGCACCUUUGCAAAAUCAUCGGGGAUGAAAGGGAGCAAGCACGAGAAAUUGCAAAGAGAAAGAAAAGUGAAAAACAGUAAAGAGAGAAUGAGAGGAAAAGAGAGAAAUAGGGGGCGGUGGGGGCCUGGGAGUGCACGUCAGCGCUGCUGAGAAGAACCUCAUUUUCCAAGACCAUCUGUUACCAGUCCCUGAGCUGAAAGCUCCAUUUAUGUCAUUCAUACCACUGCCAUACAAGCAAUGCUUCCUCUUCUACUGCUGCAUACACCACAACUCUGACUCUUUCAUCAGCAACUCACUGUCACUGUAAUAAUUAGUAGGCAGAUUUAUGGCCCAAGCAUAACAUAAUACAAUAUUUAAGCAAUAUCACACAAGAAAGAAUACUGUUGUUCUCAAUAUGACUGAAAUUCAACUGCAGGUAAUUACAGCCACGCUGAUAUUCAAACCAAACUGUUCCAUUGCAAGCGCUAUGUUGCUUUUGUAUAGCAAGCUGGAAAGUUUAAAUGGAGUAACUUACAUUUAACACACACAGUUGCCAGUUACUUAGUCUGUUUCCAUGUCACCAACAAACAUAAUAUGAAUUCCAAACAAAACCAGCGCAGAUUUUUUACAUCGCCUCUCCAAGAAACACAAGUGGUGUUUCUGAAUAAAAAUAUUUUUGUGAUUCGAUUUGGUGACUGAUUCAAUGACUCGCUCAUAAAAUUACUUGUUUUAAUUUUGAAUAAAAGAGUGCGUUUUAAAUAAAUGAAUGACUCAUUCAUAAAGAUUUGAUUCCUCCAUGAAUGAAUUACUGGUUUGAAUGAAUCAGUUAAAUGAAUGGUUCACUAACUCACUUGUAAAAACUGUUGUCAUUACCUACCUACACCAUAACGAUGUAACAUGCAAAACAAGGCACUGAAAAUACCCACCACUUAUACAUAGGCUGCUUUUUUUUUUUUUUUACUCCAAAAGCAUUGCAAGUCCAUAAACUACACAUUUAUUAUAGUGGUCUGAUUACUGCUCUCUCAGAUCGCAUCACUCGAUUUUGGGAAAUGCAACCCAGAUUGAGUGCGUUUGGAACUCGCAAACGAGGAGAAGCAAUACAAAUGAUAAAAAGUCCCAGUGCUGUUGUACUGAAUAUCAACUAAUGAAAUUCAAGGACUAGAAGUAAAAAUAUUAAAUAAAUAAAUAAAAUCUGU
ensembl:lncRNA